rnacentral:rRNA from 1 species
UACAGAGGUCUCAAGCGUUGUUCGGAUUCAUUGGGCGUAAAGGGUGUGUAGGUGGCGCGCUAAGUCGGGUGUGAAAUCUCGGGGCUUAACUCCGAAACUGCAUUCGAUACUGCGGUGCUUGAGGACUGGAGAGGAGACUGGAAUUCAUGGUGUAGCAGUGAAAUGCGUAGAGAUCAUGAGGAAGACCAGUGGCGAAGGCGGGUCUCUGGACAGUUCCUGACACUGAGACACGAAGGCCAGGGGAGCAAACGGG